GACACGGUGGCUCACACCUCUAAUCCCAGCACUUUGGGAGGCUGAGGCAGACGGAUCACCUGAGGUCAGGAGUUCGAGACCAGCCUGGCCAACAUGGUGAAACCCCAUCUCUACUAAAAAUACAACAAUUAGCCAGGUGUGGUGGUGGGUGCCUGUAAUCCCAACUACUCAGGUGGCUGAGGCACGAGAAUCGCUUGAACCCAAGAGACGGAAGUUGCAGUGAGCCGAGAUUGCACCACUGCACUCCAGUCUGAGUGACAGCGUGAGACUGUCUAAAAAAAAAAAUGAAGUUCUGAGUUCUGAUACAUGCUACAACAUGGAUAAAUAUGACUGAAUCUCAAAAACAUUACAUUAAGUGAAAGAAGCCAAACACAAAAAGGACAAAUAUCAUAAGAUUCC
rnacentral:lncRNA from 1 species